rnacentral:rRNA from 1 species
UACGUAGGGGGCAAGCGUUAUCCGGAAUCACUGGGUGUAAAGGGUGCGUAGGCGGUAUAACAAGUCAGAUGUGAAAGCCCAGGGCUCAACCCUGGGAUUGCAUUUGAAACUGUUAAACUAGAGUACAGGAGGGGAAAGUGGAAUUCCAAGUGUAGCGGUGAAAUGCGUAGAGAUUUGGAGGAACACCAGUGGCGAAGGCGACUACCUGGACUGAUACUGACACUGAGGUGCGAAAGCGUGGGGAGCAAACAGG